rnacentral:rRNA from 1 species
UGUUCCCUACGGGGGGCAGCAGUGGGGAAUAUUGCACAAUGGGGGAAACCCUGAUGCAGCGACGCCGCGUGAGUGAAGAAGCGCCUCGGCGCGUAAAGCUCUGUCAGCAGGAACGAUAAUGACGGUACCUGAAGAAGAAGCCCCGGCUAACUACGUGCCAGCAGCCGCGGUAAUACGGAGGGUGCGAGCGUUAAUCGGAAUUACUGGGCGUAAAGCGCUCGUAGGCGGUAUGUCAAGUCAAGGGUGAAAUCCCCGCGCUCAACGUGGGAACUGCCUUUGAAACUGGCAAACUGGAGUGUGUGAGG